UUUUUUCUUGUCAAAAAAGAAAAGACUCAAAAACACAAUAUAUAUACAUACCCACAUAGACAAAAAAUGGAUGAACAGUAGAGGGUAACAAAAAUAUCAUCAGCUUUCUCUCUCCACUUUCUCUCUUCCUCUCUUAAAAAAUUUUGAACUCCCACCAUCGUUUCGCCGCCGACCGGAGCUCCGGCCACCACAACACCACCAUCUUUCCCCUCUCUCUACCAUCUCUCUCCUUCCAAAACUAAAAAUAAAAACAAAAAAAAAAGAAGAGAAAAGCAGCGACGCCGUCGUCCUGUCGGCGACAAUAGCGCCGGCGCCGUCGGCCGCAGCUCGUCCCCUCGGUCAGCGUACAGUGAGACCAGCCCUCCUUUCUUCUUCUUCCUCCGAUCUCCGAACACGCGCCACCGCUUCGUCGUCGACCGGACCCGAAUCGAUCUCCCAACCCGAGAUCCGACCGCCCUCUCUCUCGGCAUCCAGUUCCCUCCAUCUCUCUUUCUUUCUAAGCUCCAUCUGCAGCUCACCCGUCCGGCGAAACAGGGCCGCCAUCGGAGAACAGGCGCCACCACCGUCUCUCCGUCGCCGGAGCUCCCGGAUCUCGAUCUGCAUUGGAUUUUUUGGUUUCCUGCUGUUUGUUGGUUGAUCUUGGUUUAGUCUAUUUCUUGGUUCAUCGUCGAUAGUAGAUCUUGAGUCUUCUUUAUCGAAUCGUGUUGUCGUUCUCGGUUGGGUUUCAUAUAGUAAAGUUUUUCUUCACUGGUUUUAGAGCUGUCCGAUUAUUAUUUUAAUACCGAGUUUGGUUUGUUCGUUGUGAGGCUCUCCGAUCGAGUAUUUUGGUCUUCGAAUUUCUUUAUUAUCGACAAGGAUUAGUUUCGUCAAGGUCCAUUUCUUUUAACCAAAUCUUUAAUUUAUCUUGACUUGUUAUUGAUGUUGUUGGAGUGGAUGAUUUAUUUGUUGUGUGUUUGGUUUGAAUCUUCGUUGUUUGUGUUGUGUUUGAUGCUGGUUUUGGAUUAUGAGAUGUGAUUGAAAAAUCGAAGCAUGCACUAAUCACGUGGUUUAAAGGGAAUUCAGGGCGCGAGUUUAAAAAUUAUUAAAGUGAAUUAGAAUUAAUUUUGAUUUGUUGUUGUUUGAUUCGUCGUUAUUGUUACUUUCACGUCUAAUUAUCAAAUUCGUGAUAGUAUCAUGGUAAGUCAAGCGGUAGGCAAUCGUAGGUUCGGGUAGGCGAAAUUUAGGAAUAAGCGCUUUGUUGGAUGUUGGAAUGUGAGUGUGAAUGUUUCUUUCUAGUUUAUCCUAUUUAAUUUAGAUGCAUUUAUUUAGUCGGGGAAUGCCCCGAGAUCACUCGUAUUCAUUCACCGGGGAAUGCCCCGACGUAUCAUGUUGGCGAAAAAUGAUCGUGAUGAAGGUCCGCGGCGUCGGGUAGGGCAUUGGAGCCUAGAUUUAGAUUUAAACUAGGAUUUAUAUUUUCGUAUUUUUUUAUUUUUUGGACUGUAUAAUUGGACUGGACUUUUACGUUCUUGGACUGUUUUGUUUUGUUUAUUGUUUGAUUAUUUUGUGUUCUUUUGUGUGGUUUAUACAUUUCAUAAUGCCAAAAUAGUCGAUACACU
rnacentral:lncRNA from 1 species